GUCUUUGGGGCAGGGUGUGAUUCCCUACCGGCGGUUAUAGUCCGCGAGCUUUUAGGAGCAUGAUUCGGUGUGAUUCCGAAACCGACAGUAUAGUCUGGAUGAGAAAAGAC
rnacentral:ncRNA from 1 species